UUUGAACAAAAAUAGAGAUAUUGUGGACAUGGAGUUUGAACCUGAUGUUUUUGAAGAAGAUCAUGUCUAAUUCAUGAUUCAUAACCUCUUUAGUAAGAUCAAAACAUUAGGGCUUCGAAUGGAGAAAGCGGAUCAAGCGUUGUUGAUCUAACAGAUCAAGCGGAUCGAGCGGAACAAGAGUGGAUCAAGCGGAUCGAGCGGUUCAAGUGUGGAUCUAGCGGAUCUAGUGGUUCAAAAUAUAUAAUUGAAUAGUGAAAGUGGUCCAAAAUACUGUACUAAUUUAAAUUAAUCUAUAUAAAUUUUAUAAUAUUUAUUUUCAUAAUUAAAAAGUAAUAUUUUAGAAAUACUUUAUAAAUGAAAGAUAUAAAAUUUUAUUCAAAAUAUAAUAAAAAUAUUUUAAAUAUACAAUUUUAUAUUAAUAAUUAUUUUUCAUAAUUCAAAUUAGUUAUUGUAAUAAUUGUUUUAUAAAUUUAAUUAGUAACAUUUUAUUCAAAAUAUAAUUCAAAAUAGCCUAAAAAUAUAUUUGUAAAAUAAUUACUUUAGCAUGUGUAUUGCAUAUCAAGUGGUUCCUUUACUUUUUUAACAAAAGACAAAUAUAUUUGAACUGCUUGUGGUUCCUCCAUCUUAUUUAAUUAAUAUGUAAAAUUUUGUGAAUGGGAAAUUAUAAGAUAGAGGCUACACAUUAGGGUAUGAUUCACCUUUGCUCCACUCCCCAUUCUCAACCUAGAUUUACCUUUCCCUUGCCUGGGUUUAUUCACUGUCUUUGCCAUUUUGCCUUUGAAAAUUCAAAGCAAAAAUCGAGACGAGUUAACGUCAGAUUUGGCAAUCUUAGAAGCUGCCUAGUGGUUUCCGGGAAGUUUCCAUUAUAAACUAAAAGACGCAACUUAACAAUCAAUAUAGAGAACUUGCUAAAAUGCGCUUGGCAGAGAAAGUGUUAAUAGUUAAUAACUUAAAUACUAAAGGGGCAAAAUAAUUGUCCGACAAAAGCCAUUCUCACAAUUAUAUGCUCAUGUUGAAAGAUAAAUAAUACAUCAUCAUGUGUCGUUAUCAUGGAAUAAAAGCAAAAGACUUGAGCUGGUUCUGCGCAUUUUAAGGUGAAUUAGUACUUCAUUUGCUAUCAUACGCUUGUUUAACCAAACCGAACCUUCUUCGCGGGUUCCUCAGCAGCUCGUCCAGCCUCUCCUUAGCCUCUUUGGCUGCUCCGACGAGCUUCUCAUCGUUAUCAUCACUACGUUUCAUUACCGAGAAGGAGACAUAGGCUUGGUCGUGAUUGGUAGUGUAGAGAGAGAACGAUGGUCGCCGAGUCCAGACCUGUCCUGUUGCUGCCGCGACAGAAGCCGUGUUGGAUAAGUCAAUCGGUGGAGCACCGCCGUGGAAACGCCGUCUCCUCGCGCACUCAACUCCGGGAAGCAUACCAGCCAUAGCUUUUCUUCUUGUCUUGUAGCUACAAAUAUUUAUCACAAAUAAUUGAGGACAGCAGUAUGGUAUACAUACUCGAUAA